AGAAAACUAUUUAAAAAUACAACAUAUUGAUGAGAAAUUCUUAAAGAAUACUCAUCUAUCCACAAAUAUUCUUGUUAUCCUAAUUUCUAAAUCACAAACCUAAUCUACAGUAUUUCUCCUAAAAAUGAAAACUUUCCAAAAAUAACAGUUUUUAAGAAAAUUAUUUAAAAAUACAAGUUAUAGAUGAAAAACCCAGAAAGAAUACUCAUCUAUCCACAAAUAUUAUUGUUUUCCUAAUAUCUAAAUCACAAACUCAAAUCUACAAUAUUUCUCUAAAAAAUGAAAACUUUCCAAAAAGAGCAGUUUUAAAGAAAAACUAUUUAAGAAUACAACUUAUUGAUGAAAAACUAAGAAAGAAUACUCAUCUAUCCACAAAUAUUCUUAUUAUCCUUAUUUCUAAAUCACAAACCCAAAUCUACAAUAUUUUCCAAAAAAAUGAAAACUUUCCAAAAAUAGAAUUUUUUAAGAAAUUUAUUUAAAAAUACAACCUAUUGAUGAGAAAAUCUUAAAGAAUACUCAUAUAUCCAAAAAUAUUUUGUUAUCCUAAUUUAUAAAUCACAAACCCUAAUCUACAAUAUUUCUCAAAAUAAUGAAAACUUUUCAAAAAUAGGAGUUUUUAAGAAAAAUAUUUUUGAAAAACUCAGAAAGAAUACUCAUCUAUCCACAAAUAUUUUUGUUAUCCUUAUUUCUAAAUCACAAACCCAAAUCUACAAUAUUUCUCAAAAAAAUGAAACUUUCCAAAAACAAUAGUUUUUAAGAAAAUUAUUUAAAAAUACAACUUAUUGAUGAAAAACUCAUAAAGAAUACUCUUCCAUCCAAAAAUAUUUUUGUUAUCCUAAUUUCUAAAUUACAAACCCUAAUCUACAAUAUUUCUCUAAAAAAUAAAAACUUUCCAAAAAUAACAGUUUUUAAGAAAAUUAUUUUAAAAAUACAACUCAUUGAUUAAAAACUCAGAGAGUAUACUCAUCUAUCCAAAAACAUUCUUGUUACCCUAAUUUCUAAAUCACAAACCCUAAUCUACAAUAUUUCACAAAAAAUGAAAAAUUUACAAAAAUAACAGUUUUUAAGAAAAAUAUUUUUAAAUACAACCUAUUGAUGAAAAACUCAGAAAGAAUAUUCAUCUAUCCAAAAAUAUUCUUGUUAUCAUAAUUUCUAAAUAACAAACGCUAAUCUUCAAUAUUUCUCAAAAAAAUAAAAAAUUUCCAAAAAUAGCAGUUUUUAAGAAAAGUAUUAAAAAUAUAAGCCAUAUAUGAAAAAUUCAAAAAGAAUUCUCAUCUAUCCACAAAUAAUCUUGUUAUCCUAAUUUUUAAAUCACAAACCCUAAUCUACAGCAAUUCUCUAAAAAAAUGAAAACUUUCCAAAAAUAGCAGUUUUUAAGAAAAGUAUUAAAAAUAUAAAAAAUGAAAACUUUCCGAAAAUAGCAGUUUUUAAGAAAAUUAUUUAAAAAUACAACCUAUUGAUGAAAAACUCAGAAAGUAUACUCAUCUAUCCACAAAUAUUCUUAUUAUCCUUAUUUAUAAAUCACAAAUCCAAAUCUAAAAUAUUUCUCAAAAAGAAUUCUCAUCUAUCCACAAAUAAUCUUGUUAUCCUAAUUUUUAAAUCACAAACCCUAAUCUACAGCAAUUCUCUAAAAAAAUGAAAACUUUCCAAAAAUAGCAGUUUUUAAGAAAAUUAUUUAAAAAUAUAACCUAUUGAUGAAAAAAUAAGAAAGUAUACUCAUCUAUCCACAAAUAUUCUUAUUAUCCUUAUUUAUAAAUCACAAAUCCAAAUCUAAAAUAUUUCUCAAAAAGAAUUCUCAUCUAUCCACAAAUAAUCUUGUUAUCCUAAUUUUUAAAUCACAAACCCUAAUCUACAGCAAUUCUCUAAAAAAAUGAAAACUUUCCAAAAAUAGCAGUUUUUAAGAAAAUUAUUUAAAAAUACAACCUAUUGAUGAAAAACUCAUAAAGAAUACUCUUCCAUCCACAAAUAUUCUUGUUAUCCUAAUUUCUAAAUCACAAACCCUAAUCUACAAUUUUUACCAAAAUAAUGAAAAUUUUCCAAAAAUAGCAAUUUUUAAGAAAAAUAUUUAAAAAUAUAAGCCAUAGAUUAAAAAUUCAAAAAGAAUACUCAUCUAUCCACAAAUAAUCCUGUUAUCCUAAUUUCUAAAUCACAAACCUUAAUCUACAGUAUUUCUCUAAAAAAUGAAAACUUUCCGAAAAUAGCAGUUUUAAGAAAAUUAUUGAAAAAUACAACCUAUUGAUGAAAAACUCAGAAA
rnacentral:lncRNA from 1 species